GUGGGGAAUAUUGCACAAUGGGGGAAACCCUGAUGCAGCGACGCCGCGUGAGCGAAGAAGUAUUUCGGUAUGUAAAGCUCUAUCAGCAGGGAAGAUAAUGACGGUACCUGACUAAGAAGCCCCGGCUAACUACGUGCCAGCAGCCGCGGUAAUACGUAGGGGGCAAGCGUUAUCCGGAUUUACUGGGUGUAAAGGGAGCGUAGACGGCAAGGCAAGUCUGAUGUGAAAACCCAGGGCUUAACCCUGGGACUGCAUUGGAAACUGUCUGGCUCGAGUGCCGGAGAGGUAAGCGGAAUUCCUAGUGUAGCGGUGAAAUGCGUAGAUAUUAGGAAGAACACCAGUGGCGAAGGCGGCUUACUGGACGGUAACUGACGUUGAGGCUCGAAAGCGUGGGGAGCGAACAGGAUUAGAAACCCCUGUAGUCC
rnacentral:rRNA from 1 species